UACGUAGGUGGCAAGCGUUGUCCGGAAUUAUUGGGCGUAAAGCGCGCGCAGGCGGUCCUUUAAGUCUGAUGUGAAAGCCCACGGCUCAACCGUGGAGGGUCAUUGGAAACUGGGGGACUUGAGUGCAGGAGAGAAGAGUGGAAUUCCACGUGUAGCGGUGAAAUGCGUAGAGAUGUGGAGGAACACCAGUGGCGAAGGCGACUCUUUGGCCCGUAACUGACGCUGAGGUGCGAAAGCGUGGGGAGCAAACAGG
rnacentral:rRNA from 1 species